rnacentral:sRNA from 1 species
AGGAUAACGUUGCGUCAGCAACGGCCCGAGGGGCGAGGCAAAGCCGAGUCAUCCUGCACGACCUACCA